AGAGUGGGGUUUAGGAUUUAGGGUUUAGGGUUUAAGGUUUAGAGUUUAGGGUUUAGGGUUUAGAUUUUAGGGUUUAGGGUUUAGAGUUUAGAGUUUAGGGUUUAGGGUUUAUGGUUUAGGGUUUAGGGUUUAGGGUUUAGAGUUUAGGGUUUAGGGUUUAGAGUUUAGGGUUUAGGGUUUAGAGUUGAGAAAUGAGGUUUUGUGGAUAAGAUUUCAAAUUUUGAAAAAUAAAAAAAUUAAAAUUUUCAAA
rnacentral:lncRNA from 1 species